UCACUUGCCUGCUUGUCGGGUUUCCCGCCU
rnacentral:sRNA from 1 species